CAUCAACAUGCAAGGCCCCUCUAUGUUUUGAGAGCCACACCCUUUUCAACCAAACAACCACAGAUGCCAUACAUAAAUAAAAAGUGACCUUUGCCCAUGAAAAGAAUUUUGAUGAAUUGCAGGAAGUAAUAUACUGUGCAAGGAAAACAGCCUUUGAUCUUUUUUUCCCCCUUAAUGUAAAUCACUUCCCAUGAAGAACAAUCUGAGUCUAAUGAAGUUCUUUAAGUGGAGACUACAAAGACCCCCAGAAUAUUAGAGAAUAUUAGAGAAGUCUCUAAUUUAUUCCUCCUAAUGGAGACUGUGGAUAGGGGAGGCAGGAGGAGGUUGAGGAUGAAGAGGGAAUGACCGAGAGUUUUCAAGUUAGUCAGUGAAUAUUUCUUGGCUAUCAAAUGUGGGCAGAACUCUUUACAGCAAAGUUUUAAACUAUGGACUGGGGCCCAUCAGUGAACUCUGAGACUAGUGUAGAAAGAAAAAGAAAGAAGAAUAGAAAACAGUGUAUAACAUAGUAAGGAAAGCGUUUAUGUGAAAUUUUUCUAAAGGUGUGUGUAUACAGAAGAUGUAUACUAAAUUGUGGUAUAGACUCUUAUUUCUUUCUAUAUAUCAUGUUCUAAAAAAGCUUGGCUAGAACUACUCCAAAAAAAAAAAAAGUUUUGGAAAGCAACCAAGUUAUUCUCUCUAACCUCUGACAGCUUAAACAGAAAUGAUAAUUAAGGCAGAAAUGUCAAUUCUUAAGGUUCUAGAGCUUUUAGGGGGAUUUUAUACAGAAGAUUUAGAGCAGGGUAGAGUGAAGAGGUCAUCUGGGGAAAAAUAGGAGGGGUCAACUACAAGGGGAG
rnacentral:lncRNA from 1 species